GCUAACGCAUUAUAGGUCACACAAACAAACAUUUUCCUUGAUCCUGUAAAAGUUGCGUUUCUAACUCAUGACUAAUGCGUUUGGUAGCUGACCUAGCUGAACAAGAAAAUUUUGUUCAUAACAAGGGCAGGAAGCACAUGUCAACUGAGCGAACAAGUUUUUGAGAGGAAAUUGCAGAGUAGAGUUGAGACUCCCUGAUGAUUUCCUUUCUAUUUAAUUUACGAGCAGGGGUCACACUGCGUCUUCGAGAAACGAGUUUGAAUUGGACGCAGUACGCGAGCAGAAGAGGACGGAGGAUGUCGGCGAAACUUUUGCUACUUUUCUGCAUCAUCCUGAUCGCAGGCGCGAUUUGCGAGGUCACUCGGGCCCCGUCGGCGGCACCGAUUAUCAAGGGUGCAGUCGCUUUUGAUGCACCGAAGCGGAGGAACUCAUGUGGCUCGGGCAGCAUUCGAAUCUUUGGCAGGUGCCGCCGCAUCUUUCCAAGUCGCAGCAAGAAUGAAGAAGAGAUGAAUUUUAGCCAACGCAAGGUUAGAAUUUAAGAAUGAAAAAAAUACUGUCCAGACGAACCUGUUUUUCUGUCCUUCUGCGAAUAAAUCAUUGAACAAUAACAAUUAGGCAA